rnacentral:rRNA from 1 species
AUUGAACGCUGGCGGCAGGCCUAACACAUGCAAGUCGAGCGAGCGGCGGACGGGUGAGUAAUGCCUGGGAAUUGCCCAGUCGAGGGGGAUCACAGUUGGAAACGACUGCUAAAACCGCAUACGAUUGGAUUGCCCAGGUGGGAUUAGCUAGUUGGUGAGGUAAUGGCGAACCAAGGCGACGAUCUCUAGCUGGUCUGAGAGGAUGAUCAGCCACACGGGAACUUAGACACGGUCCAUACUCCUACGGGAGGCAGCAGGGGGGAAUAGGGCACAAUGGGAGAAACGCUGAUGCAGCCAUGCCGCGUGGGUGAAGAAGGCCUGCGGGUUGUAAAGCACUUUCAGCGAGGAGGCGGUACUCGCAGAAGAAGCACCGGCUAACUCCGUGCCAGCAGCCGCGGUAAUAC